AGAAGAAUAAGCCUUUCUUCAUGCUGGUCCAGAUUUGUCUUCUGACUCAACUGUCUCUAGUCCAGCAUGUCUUUGUCAAAGACAAGCAAAUAUGGAACAAAUAGGACCUUUAAUGAAGAAGAGUGAUAGUUUUCUGCCUGAUAUUAGCCAUGUGUUGUAUUUGUAGACAGCAUGAGAAUUGGAAAAGGCUGUGGCCCUUACCAGGUUAGCUUUUGACUGACUGUUCACAAUCAGGUGCAAAGAGUCCCAAGGAUGAACUUCUUUUCACUGGGACGACUGACAAAAAGAGUGUAACUACUCUGUAAGGUGCAUGCAGUCUCUGGACAGAAAGAUCUUUUUAUUGCAUUGAACUUUCUUGAAAGCUAAUUUUGAGGUAACAGACCUAGGAAAAUGAAAGCAUCAGUUUUGACAUCUGAAGGUAAAUUGUUAAAAUACCAAUAUAUGGAAGACUAUGCAGCUAAUUAACUUUUACAGCCAAUAUAUAGGCAAUUAACUUUUUCACAUUUACCAUAUGUUUAUCCUCCUGCAGGGAGUAUUUCCAGGAGGAAAUCAUAAUGGGAAAUAGCUCUGCUUUUAUAUGGGAAUAAGAUCUGUUGAUGAUAGCUACAAAUUCUUACAUAGCUCAUGGUAUCUUCAAGGGAAGGUGCUGUUGAAAUCUAAGAAGUGAAAUGUAGGAAUUCAGCAAUUAAUUUCAUGAUUUCACACCGUUCAUUUCCAUAGGUGGUUAACUAUAAAUGGUCCUUUGUCUUUUCCUUAGAACAAUUCAAAGCAGUCAGUAUCAGCAGCACUCAGGAAAGAGCAGCACAUUAGUUUAACAAGACUCUAGCUGAAUUAAUUGCCACACAGAGAUACAGUGUGUUUCUAAGUUCUCAGAUUGCUGCUCCCAGGAAUAACCACAUAUUACUUGUCUAUUAUAUGGUAAAUGUACAGUCCCAGGUCAUGGCUAAGCCUUUCUUGUUGUGAUGAAGACCUGUACUCAAACUUUUUUUUAAUGUUAGGACUUGUGUCCUAAAAUAUUCAUAAAUAUCUGCUUUUUCUACACAAUCAAUUGUGGCAAAUAUUUCAGUUGUAGAUAAUUGUUGUACUACUGGCUAGUGCUCCUGCAGUCGUCCUCUCUUCACUGUGACCAAAUGACUGCAGUCACCUUGCAAACAUCUGAAACUAUUAAAUGCAGGAAAACUUUGCUGCCAGUUCAUAAUGCUGUCUUGAAAUUAUAAAACUAAAAUGCAUAAAUUAAUGCAUUGACUGCAUUGUCUCUGACUGCUUUUGAGCUACAUUUAGCUCCCCAGGUAAUUUUGCAGUCCUAG